rnacentral:rRNA from 1 species
UACGGGGGGAGCAAGCGUUGUUCGGAUUUACUGGGCGUAAAGGGCGCGUAGGCGGCCACCGCAAGUCAAUUGUGAAAUCUCCGGGCUCAACCCGGAAAGGUCAACUGAUACUGCGGGGCUAGAGUGCAGAAGGGGCAACUGGAAUUCUCGGUGUAGCGGUGAAAUGCGUAGAUAUCGAGAGGAACACCUGCGGCGAAGGCGGGUUGCUGGGCUGACACUGACGCUGAGGAGCGAAAGCGUGGGGAGCGAACAGG